CUGAGGUGGAGAGACACUGCAGCCGCCGCCAUGACCAGCAGCAUGUGAAGAUGCCGGGCUGACUAUUUGGCAUUGGAUAAUCAACUGGUGUGCUUCCCUGAGGGAAGACUAUUUCUCCAGCUUUCAGCGUUCCGUAGUUGACUAUAGUUCUUUGUGUAGUGUGGAGGCCUCCAGGGCUUUCUCCAUCAUGCCAUCACCGAAUCGUCCUAUGUAAUGGAGCUAUUGCUCCAGCACACCUGGCCAGAUGCUCCUCAAGUUUCAUGUUCAGCAGGGUCAGAACCCAACCCUCUGGCCAGCGGGGCCAAAGGAGGGCCCUGAAGACUCGAGAUCAGAAUGCGCCGCGCUGCUUCCUGCUUGGACCCUGGAUGCUAGAGGUAGACCGAGGAGAGUUCUCCAGAGAACACCACCGGACUGCACUGCAUCUUUCCCAGAACC